ACCGCGGUCCUGGACGCCGGGCGCCGGCGCCUCCCGGACCCCUGCGGCGCCACGCUGGCGGGAGCCUGCAGCGCCAGGGCCGCGGCCAGGAGCUCCCCCGACCCCGACCCCCCAGGAGCCGGGCGCUUAAAGUCGCCCAUCGGUUUAACAGCCGGGCUGCGUUACCUCCGCGGCGUCCUCGCAGAAAAGCUCGGCUCACCGCCUGAAAGGCCGAAGCCGGGAGUUUUAUGAGUUCCCUACAGUCAGCUGUGACCUGGAAGCAUAUGACCCUCCUUCCAACUCAUCAUGAGGUCAACAGUAGCUUCACACUGCAUCACAACGCCUACGUCAUUCACCUCACUUAAUCUCAUCACUAGGCAUUUAUCACCUCAUAUUAUCACAAAAGGAAGGAUACCCAGGAAGACUGACGACCAAGAUCUCAUGGGAAAACAAAAAUUGUGAGUCUCCAAGGCAGAACGCUGGAAUGCAAAACUAGUCCAGGGCCUAAGGCAGCUCCACCUACCAAGUUCUUGAUUGCCUUUUCAGCAGAUCACACUUCUGCUAGGCAAGUAACUCAUCCUUUCCCUCUCUCCUUCCUCUUUCUCUUCUGCUUUUGCUAUUUUUUCCUGUAUGGGUCAAUUCGGGGAGAGAAUCUGACUGGACUAAUAUGGCCACUGUUGGCCCUGCGGCACUGCUUAACUAGAACCCCAGAUUUGUGCUUAGAGAGCCCCCUUGUGGCCGCUCUCCGAUGAAGGAGGCUUAUGGGCGGACUGGGUAGUGAACCUUUUGGAAAUAGUCCUUUUGUUUAAAAAAACACUCUUGAUCAAAAUUUCCUCUAUAAACACCAUUUGUUUUCCUGAACAUAAAAGCAAUACCUGUUUGUUUUAGAAAAUUAAGGAAAAUAUGGAGAGGAAAAAAAUUAAAAUGAUCACUUAAUUUUGGUGUAUUUUCUUCGAGUUAAAUAUGCAUGUAUAUAUGCAUACCUACAUGCAUACAUGAAACAUGUACAAGAUUUAGAAUGAUACACAUUAUAUUCCUUUAAAUUUAUGAUGUAAGAUUUUUCCUAAGUCACACACACAAGAAGAUCUUCAAAAACACCCUUGCUAAUGGCUUUCUCAUCUUCCAACAAGAGAUGAGCCGUCAUCGGCUGCUUCGCCAUUGUAGGACAGUUGUUAAUUUUAGCCAGACUUUCUCUGUAUGAAAAUGUAGGCAAGGCGGCUGUGGGGGACGGUUCAGUGUGCUGUGAUUCGGGGCUC